rnacentral:rRNA from 1 species
CAUGUCCUUUUGAAUAUAAUUUAAGGUCUAAUCUGCUCAAUGAGAUUUAAAUAGCCGCAGUAUUUUGACUGUGCAAAGGUAGCAUAAUAAUUAGUCUCUUAAUUAGAGGCUGGUAUGAAUGAUUGGACAAGAAAAUUUCUGUCUCUUUUUUAAGUUUAUUGAAUUUUAUUUUUAAGUGAAAAAGCUUAGAUUUUUAUAAAAGACGAGAAGACCCUAUAGAGUUUAAUAUUUUUAAUUGAACUUAACAUUAGAAUUUUAUUUUUAUUUAAAUUUAUUUGGUUGGGGUGAUUUAAAGAUUGAAUUAAUUCUUUAAAACUAAUUAUUGGAGAUUUCUAAAUUUUAAAUCUAUAUUUUAUAAAUUUAAAAUAAAUUACCUUAGGGAUAACAGCGUAAUUUUUUUUUAUAGUUCUUAUUGAAAGAAAAGUUUGCGACCUCGAUGUUGGAUUAAAAUUAAUUUUUGGUGCAGUAGCUGAAAAAUUAGGUCUGUUCGACCUUUAAAAUUUUACAUGAUCUGAGUUUAAACCGGUGUAAACCAGGUUGGAUUCUAUCUUUAGAAAUAUAAUAUAUUUUAGUACGAAAGGACAGGAUAUAUAUUAUAUUAAUUG